rnacentral:rRNA from 1 species
UACAGAGGUCUCAAGCGUUGUUCGGAAUCACUGGGCGUAAAGGGUGCGUAGGCGGGUCUUUAAGUCAGGGGUGAAAUCCUGGAGCUCAACUCCAGAACUGCCUUUGAUACUGAAGAUCUUGAGUUCGGGAGAGGUGAGUGGAACUGCGAGUGUAGAGGUGAAAUUCGUAGAUAUUCGCAAGAACACCAGUGGCGAAGGCGGCUCACUGGCCCGAUACUGACGCUGAGGCACGAAAGCGUGGGGAGCAAACAGG